UCCAGUAAAUACAUGAGAAUGACCAAAUAUGAACAAACCAUAGUGUUUAGUGAAGCAUCAAGUCAUGGAAAAUAAUUAAAAAGUGACCAUAUCAGUCGUUUGGUGGAAAAAAAAAAAGUGAAAAUAAAUAUCUGAAACCAGUCGGCGAUAUGUUCGACGGCAAGCCUUUACAAUCACCAAACCUCUUCCGUCGAAUUUUCACUCUGCGUUUCUCUCCCGUCGCCGUCGAACAUGUGAGAUGUCUCUCCACUUCCAUCACCGAAGAUGCAUUCGAGCAAUCUUCUUCUCGAGGAACCGAUCAUGAUGGCUUCAAUCCUCAAGCCUUUCAAAUCGAUCGUCGGAACUCUCGGUCCCAAAUACCGAUCCGUCGAGGCUCUAUCCGGCUGUCUCAAAACCGGCAUGUCUGUGGCUCCAGUCGAUUU